UGGAGGGCAAGUCUGGUGCCAGCAGCCGCGGUAAUUCCAGCUCCAAUAGCGUAUAUUAAAGUUGUUGCAGUUAAAAAGCUCGUAGUUGAAUUUCGGGAUCAAUGUUUCGGUCAUGCCGUUGGUAUGUACUGAUAUUAUUGAUUUCUCACCUUCUAAAGAACCGUAAUGCCAUUAAUUUGGUGUCACGGGGAAUUAGGACUGUUACCUUGAAAAAAUUAGAGUGUUUAAAGCAGGCUCACGCUUGAAUACAUUAGCAUGGAAUAAUGAAAUAGGACAUCCGAUUCUAUUUUGUUGGUUUCUAGGAUCGAUGUAAUGAUUAAUAGGGAUAGUUGGGGGCAUUAGUAUUCAAUUGUCAGAGGUGAAAUUCUUGGAUUUAUUGAAGACUAACUACUGCGAAAGCAUUUGCCAAGGAUGUUUUCAUUAAUCAAGAACGAAAGUUAGGGGAUCGAAGACGAUCAGAUACCGUCGUAGUCUUAACCAUAAACUAUGCCGACUAGGGAUCGGAUGAUGUUAAUUUUUUAAUGACUCAUUCGGCGCCUUACGGGAAA
rnacentral:rRNA from 1 species